UUGAAAGGGAAACGAUUGAAGUCAGUCGUAUCGACGAGAAAUCAACUUAUCGUGUGCGAACUUGUGGGCGUGCGUGAGUUUCGGCCUCGCUGUUUGCUUGUUUGUGCGCUUUCGGUGUACUUUUUCGUAUGGUAGGCCAACGUCAGUUUCGAUCAUCAUAAAAUGACCGGCGGAAUGUAGCUUCGACCUCGGUUGAAGUGUUAUAGCCUCUGGUAGAUGUGAUGAUCGGGACUGAGGAUUGCAACGAAUACCCUUUGGGCUAUCCGUCUGACCUCUGAAAGUUGCUCAGGUGCCGAAAGCUUGCUUACGGUCAUCUAAGUUGACGGUCAAUAGGUUAGAACGUGAUUACAUUCGUUAAGGAUGUUGACGUA
rnacentral:rRNA from 1 species